rnacentral:lncRNA from 1 species
UUGCGAUACAUACACAAAUAAUUAUACGUAUAUAUAUACCCCAAUUUGGUUUGUAUCAAACAAAUGUGUUAUGAGAUCAGUCCCAUUCCUUUAAAAGGUUAUGGUUGCCUUUUCUAUGAGUUGACUUUUAAUUGAGUUUUAAUUAUUUUUCAUAUGAGGUGGAUGUACCUCUUAGUGUAUAAUCUACAAAUCUCUGAGAUAAUAUACCAAGAUGGUCGAUAAAAAUACACAACUCAAUUAUUUUUACAGAAAACAUAUAUAUCAAUCUUAAGAAGACACUGUGCUAAUAGAUAAUUG